UAGGGAUGAUGAUGAACGUAUAGCACCAGCGAGAGUGAGGCCUCCUUAUCAUUGUGGAGGCAACCAGAGCGCCGCCGAAUGGCGACGGCCAAGGGACAGAACCGCGCCGCCGUGCAUGGAACCAAGAUGCCGGUCUUCAUUGACUGGUGAUUUUGUAAAAGGAAGAAGAGGAAAGGGAGAUUGAGAAGGGGAAGGAAAAGAAAGAGAAGAAAAGGAAGGAGAUGGAGGAAGACUCACAAAUCAACCUGCCGGGGCCAGGAAGAAAGAAGCGUCCAAGCCCACACUAUUCGCUUCGGCUCCAACUCUCCUACACGUGAUCACUAACUGCCCCUGGCUAGCCACUUUUCCAUAUUUAUUUGUAGAGUAAUAUUAGAACUCAUCAUUAUGACUUUUUAUUAGAGGGGAUUAAAAAAAUUAUGUGUCAUUAUCUUAUUUAUAAGGAUUUA